CUACCUCGUCUGCUUUUCUUUUCCUUGGAAAAUAUCUGAGUAAACUCAUUUUCUUAAAAAAUGUGCAGUUAACUUGUAAGAUGUACUGACUGGAUUUUGCAAUGCGUGUGUGGGGAGGGGGGUUGGGAGUCCAUCUUUGCAGGUAGAGUAACAAACGUGUUGCUAAAGCAAGUACUGCAGGUCAAGAAUCAUAAAUAUAUAAAAUAUACAACUGAAAAUAAGAUAUUAAAUAAUAUAAAAAAAAUAUUAUAAGAAAAUAAAGAAUAUGUACAAUAUGUUAUUUAAAUGACAGUUUGUGAAAUGUGCAAAAUAUUUACAUGGGAAUGUGCAAAUGUUUACAAUAUGAGUAUACUAUACUAUGAGUCUUGACCUGCAGUACCAAAAAAAAUACCAAAGCAAAUUCCUUGUAUGUGUAAACCUACUUAAAUAAAGCUGAUUCUGGUAACCUUUUGUGGCGGGCUGCCACAGCAAAAUCUUUGCCGCCACAACAAAACAAAAUCACAAAAGAAAACAAAACAAUCCACGAUCAAUCAUCUGAUCCACGUCCUCAAUACAUACGCGGUUGUUGUGCAAUGCGUAAGGGGGUUGGGAGUAUGAGAGUCAGUGUCAGUGGGGGUUCCGGGCCUUGGUGAUGACACCAGCUGCAGACGGAAAGAAACUGUUUUUGUGAUGUGAGGUUUUGGUCCUGAUGGACCGCAGCCUCCUGGGAGUGUCUCAAACAGUUUGUGGGGCUGGGUUCUUCCUGUAAUCCACAACCAUCUCCACUGUCUUGAGAGCGUUGAGCUCCAGGUUAAUCUGACUGCAGUCACCAGGUGGUCAGUCUCCCACCCGUACGCAGACUCAUCCCCAUCAGAGAUUAGCCCAGUCAGGGUGGUGUCAUCUGCAAACUUCCCGAGCUUGACGGACUGGUGACUGGAGGUGCAGCUGUUGGUGUACAGGGAGAAGAGUAGAGUGGAAAGAACGCAGCCUUGGGGGGAAUUGGUGCUGAUGGUCCGGUAGUCAGAGACCUGUUUUUCCAGCCUCACAAGAUGCCUCCUGUCAGACAGGAAGUCUGUGAUCCACCUGCAGGUGGAGCACACUCAGCUGGGAGAUCUAGAACUGCAGCAGAGCCAGGAUGAUGGUGUUGAAGGCAGAGCUGAAAUCCACAAACAGGAUCCUGGCAUAGGUUCCUGAGGAGUCCAGGUGCUGAAGGAUGAAGUGGCAAGCCAUGUUUACUGCAUCAUCUACAGACUUGUUGGCUCUGUAGACAAACUGCAGGGGGUCCAGGAGUGGGUCUAAGAUGGAUUUGAGGUGGUACAACACAAGGCGCUCAAAAGAGCACAGAGGAUGAAGAGGGGAAAAGCAACCAGAAAGUUGAAGUGCACAGGGGGGAGAUGACUAUCUGCUGAGUAGCUGUUGCUCCUGGAGAAGAAGGCAUAUGGAAUGGAAAGAAGAGGCUGUAAAAGUGAGAGACAGGAAGGGGGGACAACGAGGACGACGGAAAAAUGGGAGCGUGUGAGGACAGCGUGAGCGACACUGCACCCCCUCGUGAGCCAAAUGACCUUAAGGCAGAGAGGGGACUGACAGCGGAAUAAUGACAACAGAAACUACACAGAUGAAAGAGAGAUCAGAGGGAGAGAAGAUGUGAGCUAAAAGAAUGACAAAAAGAUCAGUGAAGACGAUGUGUCAGCUACAAGAGUGAAAUUAUGAGUGGAGAGGAUCUGUGGACUAAAAAAAGGACAUUAAACAUCAGAGAAGAGAAGAAACACAUGCUGCUGAGGGGCUUUGAUGAUCUACUGUAUGUAUACUGCACAGGAAAGGCAAGAAAAUAUGCAGCCAAAAAGGAAAACCCUUUAAAUAACCAUGGUGAGAUAAAUGCAACGGGCAAAUAUUAUAAGCCAGGGGCAUUUCAUAAAACUCUCACUGGCAGUAUGCCAUUUAAAGACAUUGCACAAUAUGAAUCCACUUUAGGUGAUGACUAUUAAUCAGUGUUUAAAAGAUACAGCAAACAGAUUGAAUAAGGAUAUUCUAUGAUCAUGCCUUGU